rnacentral:ncRNA from 1 species
UGAUAGCUGUGAAGCGUGAGGUUGCUGCCUUUCAGCAAUGAAUGGCGGGUUUUCCGUGGAGCGAAUGUCAAGUUAGGAAACUGACGACAA